UACGUAGGUGGCAAGCGUUGUCCGGAUUUACUGGGCGUAAAGAGCGCGCAGGCGGUCGUUCAAGUCGCGUGUGAAAGCCCCCGGCUCAACUGGGGAGGGUCACGCGAUACUGAUCGACUCGAAGGCAGGAGAGGGAAGUGGAAUUCCCGGUGUAGUGGUGAAAUGCGUAGAUAUCGGGAGGAACACCUAUGGCGAAGGCAGCUCGCUGGGACGUUACUGACGCUGAGACGCGAAAGCGUGGGGAGCAAACAGG
rnacentral:rRNA from 1 species